rnacentral:rRNA from 1 species
CAAUAGUGGUACAAGUCCUUUAGAACUGGGCAUCAUAGAGGGUGACAAUCCCGUAUGACCAAACCUAUUCGUCCAUGUGAAGCCCUUUCGAAGAGUCGAGUUGUUUGGGAAUGCAGCUCAAAAUGGGUGGUAGAUUUCAUCUAAAGCUAAAUAUAAGCCAGAGACCGAUAGCGCACAAGUAGAGUGAUCGAAAGAUGAAAAGCACUUUGAAAAGAGAGUUAAACAGCACGUGAAAUUGUUGAAAGGGAAGCGCUUAUAACCAGACUUGUUUUCAACAUUCAGCUCGACUCUCGGGUCGAGUGCACUUUGUUGUUAUCAGGCCAGCAUCGGUUUUGGCGGUUGGAUAAAAACURGAGGAAAGUAGCUUUGCCCGCAAAGUGUUAUAGCCUCUAGUACAAUGCAGCCAGUCGAGACCGAGGAUCGCGCUCUAAGCUCGGAUGCUGGCGUAAUGGUUGUCAGCGACCCGUCUUGAAACACGGACCAAGGAGUCGACCAAUUGAGCGAGCGUUAGGGUGUAAAACCCAUUAACGCGCAAUGAAAGUAAACGUAGGUGGGAAGCCUUUGGCUGCACCAUCGACCGAUCUGAGUUCGCGAGGAUUUGAGUAAGAGUUUAUUUGGUCGGACCCGAAAGAAGGUGAACUAUACUUGAAUAAGUUGAAGUCAGGGGAAACCCUGAUGGAGGACUGCAGCGGUUCUGACGUGCAAAUCGAUCGUCAAAUUUGAGUAUAGGGGCGAAAGACUAAUCGAACCUUCUAGUAGCUGGUUCCUGUCGAAGUUUCCCUCAGGAUAGCAGCAACGAAUUGAACAGUCUCAUGAGGUAGAGC